AAAUUGAAGAGUUUGAUCAUGGCUCAGAUUGAACGCUGGCGGCAGGCCUAACACAUGCAAGUCGAACGGUAACAGGAAGCAGCUUGCUGCUUCGCUGACGAGUGGCGGACGGGUGAGUAAUGUCUGGGAAACUGCCUGAUGGAGGGGGAUAACUACUGGAAACGGUGGCUAAUACCGCAUAACGUCGCAAGACCAAAGAGGGGGACCUUCGGGCCUCUUGCCAUCAGAUGUGCCCAGAUGGGAUUAGCUUGUUGGUGAGGUAACGGCUCACCAAGGCGACGAUCCCUAGCUGGUCUGAGAGGAUGACCAGCCACACUGGAACUGAGACACGGUCAGACUCCUACGGGAGCAGCAGUGGGGAAUAUUGCACAAUGGGCGCAAGCCUGAUGCAGCCAU
rnacentral:rRNA from 1 species